AGUUUAUUUCGAUUCACGUUUCGUAUAGGUUAGUUAGUAAUUAAUAAGAAAAUGUGAAUAAGUAAAUCGAAAAUUUGCAAGAAAUGAUUAUUUGGAAUUUGAGGGUGUUGCAGAAACUGAGAUUUCAAAUUGGAGAUUGGAGACAAGUUAAAUGACAUGGAAUAUUUUCUUAAGUUACGUACAGUAUAUAUUUAUGGAUUAUAUUCUCCAAAGAAAUCGAAGAUUUACCAUUAUUUUGAUAUUUCUACAAUUUCCAAUGCUUAUUUAUUUUAAUAAUUGAUAUAUUACAUUACAUUCCCAUGUUAUGCAAAAUGAUCAUUUCAAUUUUAAAAUGGACACGUUAUUUGGAAUAUUAAUCAAUGGGGACAAUUGUUAUCAAGGAAAGGAUUGUGCAGAACAUUUGGAAAUAGUUGAUCGAAUUUUGAUAUUAUAUAUUCUAUUCUUCUCUAAGAAUGAAAGAUAAAUUUGGAUUAAAUAAAUUUGGAAACUUAUUUUCUGAGAUACAAUGAAUAUUGGAUAAUAGAUGGAAAGAUUUAAGCCAGCAGAAGGAGAAUUAUUAUUAUGUUGUGAAAAUGAAGGAGAUGAGAAUUAAUGCACGAGAAUAACUUUUUGGUCAGAAAAAUGAGCUUAACUUAUUAUAAAAGAAAACUUAAAGAAAGAAAUAAAAAAAUUCAGAAUGCAAGAUUAUAAAUAAUAAUAAUAAUACACGAGCAUUCCUUAGAGAAGAAGCUAUCUCGCAUCCAAUGUGCGUGUCAUAAUCAGGAAGAGUAACGCCUUGUAUUGACAAUCGUCGCGGCAGAGGCUACUUACUACUACGGAGGAGUAAAUUGCGUAGGACGUGAGACACUCGUGGAAAUAAUUGAGUGCGUGUCGCUGGGCUUGAUGAGCAAUUACGAGGAUCUCCGUGAAUGAAUCGUUCCCCAUAAAAAUGUUUCUCUCGUGGCCGGUUCAGUUUCAGAUCGACAACAGAAGAAAAGAUAAAAAAAAUUGAACAAAAGAAAAGAGAUGAAGAAAAGAUCGAAGAUACAAGGAGAAGAUAGAAGAUAUUCAAGAGAUGAUGUUAUCUUGACAUCCAAGAAAAAAAGAAAAGAGUAGGAAUGAAAUAAGAAAAGAAGAAGAGAAAAGAUCAAAGAAGAAAAGAGAAAAGACAAAGGCAAUGAAGAAAAUAUAAAAGAUAAGAGAAAGAAAAAAAAGGAAGAGAAUUGAAAAAAAAAAAGAUAUUAACACAACGUCGUAUCGUGUAUCACGCUGGUUAACGCUGAACGAAACCAGAAGAAAUUACAUGAUCGUUUCACUUUCGCACGCGGAAGCCAAUCUUGACGACGCGACACGGCGUCGCGACGUCCAUGAACAAGAAUAUGCGACCGAAACAGCACGGAUCGGUUAACGGUAAUGUUCGUUCAUGCUGUUUCAUCGUGACGUUGAGAAGUUGUGAAUAUCUUUUAAUGAGAAAUUUUUUGUACAUCUUUUUUUACUUUUAUAUUUUUUUGAAGUUUGUUCAAGCGUGAAGUGUGCUGGGAUUUUAUUUUUUGAAUAUUAUUUAACUUUUUCAUUAAAGUAACAUAAGUUAAAAUUUAAAUUAAAGAUUGAAAUGAGAUAAUUGUUUGAAUAUGUGAUUUUAUUUAAAUUGAACUAUAUAGAUUGAAUUAAUUUCUCACGUUAUUUCAUUGCAUCAUGGAAUUAAUCAUUUAUUGUAUAUAAGUUAUAUUUAUUGCGAUAAUAAUAAAUAUUAUUAUUCAAUAGUAA